GACGAACGCUGGCGGCGUGCCUAAUACAUGCCAGUUGAGCGCUGAAGGUUGGUACUUGUACCGACUGGAUGAGCAGCGAACGGGUGAGUAACGCGUGGGGAAUCUGCCUUUGAGCGGGGGACAACAUUUGGAAACGAAUGCUAACACCGCAUAAAAACUUUAAACACAAGUUUUAAGUUUGAAAGAUGCAAUUGCAUCACUCAAAGAUGAUCCCGCGUUGUAUUAGCUAGUUGGUGAGGUAAAGGCUCACCAAGGCGAUGAUACAUAGCCGACCUGAGAGGGUGAUCGGCCACAUUGGGACUGAGACACGGCCCAAACUCCUACGGGAGGCAGCAGUAGGGAAUCUUCGGCAAUGGACGAAAGUCUGACCGAGCAACGCCGCGUGAGUGAAGAAGGUUUUCGGAUCGUAAAACUCUGUUGGUAGAGAAGAACGUUGGUGAGAGUGGAAAGCUCAUCAAGUGACGGUAACUACCCAGAAAGGGACGGCUAACUACGUG
rnacentral:rRNA from 1 species